AAAGUUCUCAUCGAUAAUUUUACAUACAUGAUAUACAACAUUUCAAUAUGUAUGUAUUUGCUGCAUCUAGCAUCUAGGAGCAGGUUGAUAAGUUGUCUUUAGCAAAAAUGCAUGACAUGGUUGCCAGAUUCAUCUACCCCCCCUAGUUUCGCGUUCUAAAUCAUGAGUCCCAAAUCGCGGGACGUAUGCGACCCAAGAUGCUGAAAGACGUAUUCUGAUACGCCAAAUCUGGUGAACCCAUUUACUCAACACUCACUGUCACUGUUAACACAAAAUCAAAGGGGAAAGUGGACUUGAGAAGAAGAAAUACAAAGAAUUCAAAAAAUUAUAAUAGAAAUGAUUGAUUUUUUCUGUUUUCUUCCUAGUAGUGGGCUUCAAUUUUCUCUGGGUGUUAAUGGUCGACGCUUCUAUGGUUUUGCCAUUGCUGAGAGCCUGCGAGUUUUAAUCUCUCCUCAUAUCAGGAAGAAAACCCACAGUAAAAAAUGUGUCGGUGUCGAUGAAAAAGUUUCCAAGUAUAUCAAUGAGAAAGGGCAUAAAGAACUCAAGAAGUUUCCUAAUAGACCAAGAAAGAGAAUACAGCAAGGAAAGAGUUGAAAGUUUU
rnacentral:misc_RNA from 1 species